rnacentral:rRNA from 1 species
UACGUAGGGUCCGAGCGUUGUCCGGAAUUAUUGGGCGUAAAGGGCUCGUAGGCGGUCUGUUGCGUCGGAAGUGAAAACUCAGGGCUUAACCCUGAGCCUGCUUCCGAUACGGGCAGACUAGAGGUAUGCAGGGGAGAACGGAAUUCCUGGUGUAGCGGUGAAAUGCGCAGAUAUCAGGAGGAACACCGGUGGCGAAGGCGGUUCUCUGGGCCUUACCUGACGCUGAGGAGCGAAAGCGUGGGGAGCGAACAGG